rnacentral:rRNA from 1 species
UGGGGAAUAUUGCACAAUGGAGGGAACUCUGCUGCAGCGACGCCGCGUGAACGAAGAAGGCUUUCGAGUCGUAAAGUUCUUUUAUCUGGGAAGAUAAUGACGGUACCAUAAGAAAAAGCCCCGGCUAACUACGUGCCAGCAGCCGCGGUAAUACGUAGGGGGCUAGCGUUGUCCGGAAUCACUGGGCGUAAAGGGUUCGCAGGCGGAAAUGCAAGUCAGGUGUAAAAGGCAGUAGCUUAACUACUGUAAGCAUUUGAAACUGCAUAUCUUGAGAAGAGUAGAGGUAAGUGGAAUUUUUAGUGUAGCGGUGAAAUGCGUAGAUAUUAAAAAGAAUACCGGUGGCGAAGGCGACUUACUGGGCUCAUUCUGACGCUGAGGAACGAAAGCGUGGGUAGCAAACAGG